rnacentral:ncRNA from 1 species
UGACCAAGGGGCCGGGGCGUUCUGACCAAUGGAGUGGCUGGAGCGAACCAGGUGUACAGGGAGUACUCCCAUUCGUGGGCCGGGUCAGGCAAGCC